UACGAUUGACGGAGCGAAGCGACGUCAAAGCGUAUACAAAGUCGAGUCGGUUUAAGGAUACGUUCGUUGGGUAGGGGAGCGUUCUGUAAGCCUGUGAAGGUGUGUCGUGAGGCAUGCUGGAGGUAUCAGAAGUGCGAAUGCUGACAUAAGUAACGAUAAAGCGGGUGAAAAGCCCGCUCGCCGGAAGACCAAGGGUUCCUGUCCAACGUUAAUCGGGGCAGGGUGAGUCGACCCCUAAGGCGAGGCCGAAAGGCGUAGUCGAUGGGAAACAGGUUAAUAUUCCUGUACUUGGUGUUACUGCGAAGGGGGGACGGAGAAGGCUAUGUUGGCCGGGCGACGGUUGUCCCGGUUUAAGCGUGUAGGUGUGUGUUCCAGGUAAAUCCGGUUCACUUUAACACUGAGGCGUGAUGACGAGGCACUACGGUGCUGAAGCAACAAAUGCCCUGCUUCCAGGAAAAGCCUCUAAGCAUCAGGUAACAUCAAAUCGUACCCCAAACCGACACAGGUGGUCAGGUAGAGAAUACCAAGGCGCUUGAGAGAACUCGGGUGAAGGAACUAGGCAAAAUGGUGCCGUAACUUCGGGAGAAGGCACGCUGACACGUAGGUGAAGUGAUUUACUCAUGGAGCUGAAGUCAGUCGAAGAUACCAGCUGGCUGCAACUGUUUAUUAAAAACACAGCACUGUGCAAACACGAAAGUGGACGUAUACGGUGUGACGCCUGCCCGGUGCCGGAAGGUUAAUUGAUGGGGUCAGCGCAAGCGAAGCUCCUGAUCGAAGCCCCGGUAAACGGCGGCCGUAACUAUAACGGUCCUAAGGUAGCGAAAUUCCUUGUCGGGUAAGUUCCGACCUGCACGAAUGGCGUAAUGAUGGCCAGGCUGUCUCCACCCGAGACUCAGUGAAAUUGAACUCGCUGUGAAGAUGCAGUGUACCCGCGGCAAGACGGAAAGACCCCGUGAACCUUUACUAUAGCUUGACACUGAACAUUGAGCCUUGAUGUGUAGGAUAGGUGGGAGGCUUUGAAGUGUGGACGCCAGUCUGCAUGGAGCCGACCUUGAAAUACCACCCUUUAAUGUUUGAUGUUCUAACGUGGACCCGUAAUCCGGGUUGCGGACAGUGUCUGGUGGGUAGUUUGACUGGGGCGGUCUCCUCCUAAAGAGUAACGGAGGAGCACGAAGGUUGGCUAAUCCUGGUCGGACAUCAGGAGGUUAGUGCAAUGGCAUAAGCCAGCUUGACUGCGAGCGUGACGGCGCGAGCAGGUGCGAAAGCAGGUCAUAGUGAUCCGGUGGUUCUGAAUGGAAGGGCCAUCGCUCAACGGAUAAAAGGUACUCCGGGGAUAACAGGCUGAUACCGCCCAAGAGUUCAUAUCGACGGCGGUGUUUGGCACCUCGAUGUCGGCUCAUCACAUCCUGGGGCUGAAGUAGGUCCCAAGGGUAUGGCUGUUCGCCAUUUAAAGUGGUACGCGAGCUGGGUUUAGAACGUCGUGAGACAGUUCGGUCCCUAUCUGCCGUGGGCGCUGGAGAACUGAGGGGGGCUGCUCCUAGUACGAGAGGACCGGAGUGGACGCAUCACUGGUGUUCGGGUUGUCAUGCCAAUGGCACUGCCCGGUAGCUAAAUGCGGAAGAGAUAAGUGCUGAAAGCAUCUAAGCACGAAACUUGCCCCGAGAUGAGUUCUCCCUGAGACUUAAAGUCUCCUGAAGGAACGUUGAAGACGACGACGUUGAUAGGCCGGGUGUGUAAGCGCAGUGAUGCGUUGAGCUAACCGGUACUAAUGAACCGUGAGGCUUAACCUUACAACGCCGAAG
rnacentral:rRNA from 1 species